AUAGAGUUUGAUCCUGGCUCAGGACGAACGCUGGCGGCGUGCUUAACACAUGCAAGUCGUACGAACCUUGGAGGGCUUGCUCUUCAAGGCUAGUGGCGGACGGGUGCGUAACACGUGAGCAACUUGUCCUACGGUGGGGGAUAGCCGGCCCAACGGCCGGGUAAUACCGCGUAUUGCAUCGGCACCGCAUGAUGCUGAUGUGAAAGCGGCCGCAAGGUCGCGCCGGAGGAGGGGCUCGCGGCGUAUCAGCUUGUUGGUGGGGUAACGGCCUACCAAGGCUACGACGCGUAGCUGGUCUGAGAGGAUGAUCAGCCACAUUGGGACUGAGAUACGGCCCACACUCCUACGGGAGGCAGCAGUGGGGAAUAUUGCGCAAUGGCCGCAAGGCUGACGCAGCGACGCCGUGUGUGGGAUGAAGGCCCUCGGGUUGUAAACCACUGUCAGGAGGGACGAAUGCUCGGCUUCAAAUAGUUGACCGAGAGUGACGGUACCUCCAGAGGAAGCACCGGCUAACCCCGUGCCAGCAGCCGCGGUAAUACGGGGGGUGCAAGCGUUGUCCGGAUUCACUGGGCGUAAAGCGCGCGUAGGCGGUUCUGUAAGUCAUCUGUGAAAUCCCGGGGCUCAACUCCGGGGCUGCAGGUGAUACUGCAGAGCUAGAGCUCGGUAGAGGCAAGUGGAAUUCCCGGUGUAGCGGUGGAAUGCGUAGAUAUCGGGAAGAACACCAGUGGCGAAGGCGGCUUGCUGGGCCGAUGCUGACGCUGAGGCGCGAAAGCGUGGGGAGCAAACAGGAUUAGAUACCCUGGUAGUCCACGCCGUAAACGAUGGGUACUAGGCGUCGGGGGGAGCGACCCCUUCGGUGCCGUCGCUAACGCACUAAGUACCCCGCCUGGGGAGUACGGCCGCAAGGCUGAAACUCAAAGGAAUUGACGGGGGCCCGCACAAGCGGUGGAGCAUGUGGUUUAAUUCGAUGCAACGCGAAGAACCUUACCUGGGCUUGACAUGUCCGUGAAAGCUGGUGGAAACAUCGGCCCCUCUUCGGAGCUCGGUCACAGGUGCUGCAUGGCUGUCGUCAGCUCGUGUCGUGAGAUGUUGGGUUAAGUCCCGCAACGAGCGCAACCCUCGCUCCCAGUUGCCAGCGGUUCGGCCGGGGACUCUGGGGGGACUGCCGGUGUCAAACCGGAGGAAGGUGGGGACGACGUCAAGUCAUCAUGGCCCUUACGCCCAGGGCGACACACGUGCUACAAUGGCCGGUACAACGCGCUGCCAACCCGCGAGGGUGAGCCAAUCGCUAAAAGCCGGUCUAAGUUCGGAUUGCAGUCUGUAACUCGACUGCAUGAAGUUGGAAUCGCUAGUAAUCGCGGAUCAGCCAUGCCGCGGUGAAUACGUUCCCGGGCCUUGUACACACCGCCCGUCACGCCAUGGAAGCUGGGGGGACCCGAAGCCGGUGGGCUAACCUUCGGGAGGCAGCCGUCUAAGGUCAACUCAGUGACUGGGGCGAAGUCGUAACAAGGUAACCA
rnacentral:rRNA from 1 species